rnacentral:rRNA from 1 species
UACGUAGGGUGCAAGCGUUGUCCGGAAUUAUUGGGCGUAAAGAGCUCGUAGGCGGUUUGUCGCGUCUGCUGUGAAAACUCAGGGCUUAACCCUGAGCUUGCAGUGGGUACGGGCAGACUAGAGUGCGGUAGGAGAGACUGGAAUUCCUGGUGUAGCGGUGAAAUGCGCAGAUAUCAGGAGGAACACCGGUGGCGAAGGCGGGUCUCUGGGCCGUAACUGACGCUGAGGAGCGAAAGCAUGGGGAGCGAACAGG